GUGCUUUCUUUAUUGUUUAUAGAUUCCUAAACUUUUUCAAGGGAGUUUUCUUUUCCGGACGUUCCCUGAAGGUCUCGGACAAGUCCCAUGCUAGACUCCAGCGUUAAAGGUUGGGAUCAGGACGGCUCUCAGUACGACUUCUGUGCUCAGUCUGUCCUUCUCCUGCUGAGCAACCUGAUUCCAAACAACGGUGGAGCGGUGAAACAGCGACACCGUGUGGCAGAACUACAACAGAUCUUUGUCUGGAUCAGCAUCUCUACAUCUGUGUGUAACCACCAGCACAUGGGGGUUGUUAGAGCUGCUGUGUUUCCAGCUAUCCAGUCACGCUCGUUUGACGCCACACAACCCCCGUCUCUCUCCCAGCAUGCCUCUGAAAAACAUCAGAUCUUUGUCUGGAUCAGCAUCUCUACAUCUGUGUGUAACCACCAGCACAUGGGGGUUGUUAGAGCUGCUGUGUUUCCAGCUAUCCAGUCACGCUCGUUUGACGCCACACAACCCCCGUCUCUCUCCCAGCAUGCCUCUGAAAAACAUCAGAUCUUUGUCUGGAUCAGCAUCUCUACAUUUGUGUGUAACCACCAGCACAUGGGGGUUGUUAGAGCUGCUGGUGGGUUGUUAAAGGUUCACAGAUCAUCCAUCUGGGGUUGGAGAGGAGGGGUAAUGACUCAGCUUUUUGUUCUAGUGUUUCCAGCUAGCCAGUCACGCUCGUUUGACGCCACACAACCCCCGUCUCUCUCCCAGCAUGCCUCUGAAAAACAUCAGAUCUUUGUCUGGAUCAGCAUCUCUACAUCUGUGUGUAACCACCAGCACAUGGGGGUUGUUAGAGCUGCUGUGUUUCCAGCUAUCCAGUCACGCUCGUUUGACGCCACACAACCCCCGUCUCUCUCCCAGCAUGCCUCUGAAAAACAUCAGAUCUUUGUCUGGAUCAGCAUCUCUACAUCUGUGUGUAACCACCAGCACAUGGGGGUUGUUAGAGCUGCUGUGUUUCCAGCUAGCCAGUCACGCUCGUUUGAUGCCACACAACCCCCGUCUCUCUCCCAGCAUGCCUCUGAAAAACAUCAGAUCUUUGUCUGGAUCAGCAUCUCUACAUCUGUGUGUAACCACCAGCACAUGGGGGUUGUUAGAGCUGCUGUGUUUCCAGCUAGCCAGUCACGCUCGUUUGACGCCACACAACCCCCGUCUCUCUCCAAGCAUGCCUCUGAAAAACAUCAGAUCUUUGUCUGGAUCAGCAUCUCUACAUCUGUGUGUAACCACCAGCACAUGGGGGUUGUUAGAGCUGCUGUGUUUCCAGCUAGCCAGUCACGCUCGUUUGACGCCACACAACCCCCGUCUCUCUCCCAGCAUGCCUCUGAAAAACAUCAGUGAACAUCCAGUGUUCAGAAGAGCGUCCAAUGGGACACUCCUAAAAGCCUCAAAUCAUCAAACUUGGCCUCCAAAAGGAGUCCCACAGUUCCAAAACCCCAGAGGAGGUGGAGAAGGAGGCACGGGCCCAUGUCACCAGUGAGGGUGGGGAGAUCGAUACCCCACCCUGGUGCUGAGCCGGUGGAAGGUCCAGUUUGGUAAAUACCAGGACAAGACCUUCCAAUGGCUGCUGGAAAAUGACGUGGGCUACACUAUCAAUCUGGUGUCCUCCCACCAGAAGGAGCGAGAGAGGACAGCGUCUCAGUCCCCACUGAUGGUCAACAAGGUGAUGUGUCUGAGGUUCAUUUGUCUUAGUUCCAAGUGUGAUGCUUUAACAGAACUUUUGGACCAUCAGGACGGCCUCAUCCGUUGCUCCUCAGCCUAUCCUGACUUUGUGGAGGUGGUCAGGUUCCACCAGGCGUUUGAGGAGGCUCCGGUGAGGUCUCUUCAGUCUGGGUAGGAGGGACAGGCCCUUGUUGGCUUUGGGGACUUUAAGUUCGAGACGCUGCAGAACCUGUACGAGUCUGAGGACCCCAAAAAAGAUCCGGUUUGUCAACUACUUGCGGAGGAAGGCUCCUGCUCCAGGAACUCAGAUGGAGAACGCGUACGCUCCAUCAAGGCCAGGGACAGACUCCUGCUGCUGCAACUACCACCUCUCCCAGCAGCAGCAGCAGCUCUGCAUCAGGUUCAUCAGGCCUGGCAGCCAAAUCUGCACAGAGAUUUACGUCCUUUGUCUCUGGUCGGCGUUCUCUGUCUGUGGUGGAAAUGCAGGUGAAAGUAAAGCAGCUUGUGGGCAGACCUGCAUUUCCAGCCUCCUCUGCAUCUGCUGCUUCAUCCCAAACCUUCAUGGAGCCUACGGAUGAAGAGCUGGUCAGCGCUGUAGUUGACAUAGAGUGUGACAGAACAGAACAGACACAUUCAGAGGUUCUCCUGCCGGCAAAAAAAGUGGGAGAGGGCUGUGCUCGAGCAGGAAGCUGGACUUCCUGCCGCUUCAGCCGUUUCCCUGCAGCCUCUCCCUGCAGCUAAAGGGCGGUCCUCGCUUCAGGUGGGACAGGGACAGCCCUACAACUACAAGCUGCCAGAGGAGAACAUUCCUCUGCCAGCAACACCAUCCGGGACUGAACCCCAGCUUGACCCUGAAGCUCCUCCUCCUCCAUCACCACCUCCUCCUCCUUCUGAGCGUGUGCCCAGGACGACCGCCUUCAGAAGGAGGAAAGCGGAGGAAGCAGCAGCUCCGGGAAAAGGCCUUCCAACCAAAGUCCGCCGACAGGUUGUGCGGUACACCUGCAGAAAGUGUGGCCAGCCAAAAAGACUAGACACCGGCCACACACGCAUUGCUGGGGUGUCUUACUGCGCAACCGUCGGUGGGAAAAGUGUGAAGGAAUGGAGGGAAGGAACACUAAAGACUUUUAAAAAUAUAUUUAGUUUUUCUACUUUUAAUUAAAAAUUAAUAUUUUUGUUGCAAAGGAUCCCAGGACCACUAAAAACUAUUU